CUGAGAAUCUGCUCCCUCCCUCUUGCCCUCCUGUUACCUUCCUGAAGGGCAGCCACCACUGCACGGUGAGCGUGUCUCCUCGCAGCAGAGUUUGGAAAUGAAAACAGCCGGUCAGGUGUCGAUUUCCCUCCCCAUCUUCUGUGAUCUACGUUUGCAGAAGUGCCCUGACAAAGAGCCUGGGCAUUCUGCAGAGCUCCAGCAUCGCUCCCCAAAGUUCAAACUUUGUGCUCUCAGGCUUUCAGCCAUCGAUAAACAAAGCGACUAUAUGCUCCUCCCGGAUGAGUGCUCUCUCCUGCAGUGAAAUUGUUUGUUGCCAUGGAUAUCGCUUAGUCUUGAGAGACAUGGAACCAAAAUGGAUUUAAACAGACCCUCGUGGGUCAAUAUUUCCGUAGGAGCAAAUGUGCGCCUCGAGGCUUCCUACAUUUCUUCUGUUUGGGCUUGUGGCAAUAAGCACAAACCUCCCAGAGCUUCAGCUGGAGGGGUAGAAGUUGUCCUCUAACCAUCAGGAAUGCAUUUGGUACGUUGUUUAUUCCCAAACCCACAAGGAUAUGGGAUCACAGAAGCCUAAAAGAUCAGGAUGAAGAACUCAUAACAAAGCAAAUGAACUUAAGACUGUCCUUUGGAUUUGCAUGGAUAUUUCACAGGAGGAGCUCCAACAAUACCAACAUAAAAUACAGCUGGACACUAAGCUACUUCAGAACUUGCUUCUUAACCUGAACCCUCUCUGUAGAAGCACCAGAGCCUGUUUCAGGACUUCCCCGCUGCUGUUCCACCACCUCCUAACUCACUCCUGAUGCAUCUCGGGCUCGCUGAGAGGUGUGGAGAUGUUGACAGCCACCGCAAAUGGGACACUUCUCGGUGCCGCAUGGGGCUGGGCAGCACUGGGGCACCUGUAGAAGCUCAAAGAAGCAGGAGAAAGGGGUAUUUCUUCGCGGUGGUGGCAUCUGCGAUCCAGAUGGGCUCUCCUUGCAUGCCAAUGAGCCCGUUAUUGUUGCUGUUUGUUUGCA
ensembl:lncRNA